GAGGGACAGGGAGAAGGGAGGUCAGCAUGGUGGCAGCACUUGGCCUGCUCUCAGAAAACAUUCAGGGUGAGGGUUUCAUUCUGGGAAACAUUUAUCACAUCUAGUCAGCAUGGCCUAGAGAGGACCAGCCUUGACGACAUCCUAAGAUCCCAGCCAAUCUUAAAAUAAUGCAGGAAACCCAGGGUUUGGGGCAAGCCCGUGCGUCCCCAGUAGCUUCCUACAUCUGACCAUUCCACGCCUUCCACCAUCAGAAAACCCACCCUGCAGCACCUCUGUGUAUGGAAGCCACGGCCUUGCAGAGCCAAGGAUGUGGGAGAAGCCGACCCCCUGUGCACGCGCCGCACUGGGGUUUUUUCUUCUGAAUACUAAUGUGUAAUUCUUGCAGGAACAGGCCCACGUGCCCCUUCCUAUGUGGUGGCCUGAAAAUAAUCUACAAUAUUGCAUCAACACUCACGUAAUGAAGAAGGUCCGCGUGCCUGUGCCACUUCCACGCACUCGCCGGGCUUCGAUAUUAGGAAGAAGCACAGGACGGCAGCACUCGUGCCUUGUCAGUCAUUUAAUUAAGCAAAGCAAGCCUGCUAUUCAUUUUAUUUCUGUAUAUGUUAAUGUUAAAAACUAAUAGAAAACAGCAAGUAAAUUGUCCCCUGCAUAUAUUGGACACAGCAACAAUUACUUUGACAGCGAAGAUAUAAUAAAAGAG
rnacentral:lncRNA from 1 species